CUGAAAUCUAACUGCUGCUCUCCAAUUUCUGAUUGUGCUUGGUUAUCUCCAGGAGAAAAAUUAAUCUGAUCCGUGCUGUUGUUUUUUGUGAGAGGAAGUUCCCACAGCACUACUCUUGGAUCCAGGAGACUGAAGUGAAACCACAGAACCAUUUUUGAUAUGGGGAACAGCUCUUGAUUCUUCUAUUGUUCCAGUCGCACUGUUCACAGAGGGAGAAUGUUUAAGAGGAGCACUACUGUUGCUGGGCGUUUUUGGUGCUAUGAGGUCAGGAGAAGAGGGAAUGUCAUAUGAAAUUACAAAUUAGAUGGGUCUGCCUUUCAGGUAAAUUUUUCUGGAACUUAUUUAUCUUAAUAUCAAGUACUCACAUAACACUUUAGUAUUCAAAGUGCUUUUGGAAAAAUAUUUCAAAGUAGGAAAUACUCCUUUCAGAAAAAAAAGAAAACUAGACCUCAGAAAGCUAAGUGACUUGUCCAAAUUAUAAGACUAGAACCUAUUCAUUGUAUGUAACUUUGAAUCUAAGUAUGUUUAACAAGUUGUUUAGUUCUAACUGGAAAUUGAAUGGAUGCCCAUCAAAUGGAGAAUGGCUGGGUAAAUUGUGGUAUAUGAAUGUUAUGGAAUAUUAUUGUUCUGUAAGAAAUGACCAGCAGGAUGAAUACAGAGAGGCUUGGAGAGACUUACAUGAACUGAUGCUAAGUGAAAUGAGCAGAACCAGGAGAUCAUUAUACACUUCGACAAUGAUAUUGUAUGAGGAUGUAUUCUGAUGGAAGUGGAUUUUUUGACAAAGAGACCUAACUCAAUUUCAAUUGAUAAAUGAUGGACAGAAGCAGCUACAUCCAAAGAAAGAACACUGGGAAACGGAUGUGAACUAUUUGCAUUUUUGUUUUUCUUCCCGGGUUAUUUUUACCUUCUGAAUCCAGUUUUCCCUGUGCAACAAGAGAACUGUUCAGUUCUGCAAACAUAUAUUGUAUCUAGGAUAUACUGCAACAUAUCCAACAUAUAAAGGACUGCUUGCCAUCUAGGGGAAGGGGUGGAGGGAGGGAGGGAGGGGAAAAAUCGGAACAGAAGCAAGUGCAAGGGAUAAUGUUGUAAAAAAAAUUACCCUGGCAUGGAUUCUGUCAAUAUAAAGUUAUUAUAAAAUAAAAUAAAAUAUUUUUUAAAAAGUUGUUUAGUUCUAAUAUGAAAUAAAAGAAAUUAGAUCCAGGUUAGGAUGGAAUACCUUCCAGAAAUUUCUUGGCUAACAUACAUAACUUCAGCUCCUACUUCCUACCUAUAUGGUCUUAAGCAAGAAAUUUACCUUCUCUGAGCCCAUUUCUUCAUCUAUAAAUGAAGAGGUAAUGAACUAGAUGAUCUCUAAGAUUCCUUCCUAUUUCAAUCUCUAUAUCUUAUGAUCAUCUAUAUAUGAAUAUACUUAGGUUGUUUCUGUUCUCUAUAUAGAUAUGUUAGUACUGUUUUUACCUUCCUAUCGUAAAUAUGAGAAUAAGAUUUUCAUUUUUAUUUUUUGUAAGAUUACAAAAUAUUCUUGACACUAGAAACAGGAUGGGUAGGUCUAAGUAUAUGUUGUCAUAUGUUAGAGGGAUUAUACUAGUUUUGCUUUACUCUAAGGUAGAAAUGAGAAAAAAAGGGUGGAAAAUGUUAAGGAGACUGAGAGUUUAUAUAAAGGGAAACUUCUUAACAGUGAGAGAUAUUGAAAAGUGGAAUGGUGAUGAGUUUAAUUUGAAUUUUUCAAGUAGAGGCUGGAUAGUUUUUUUCUUGGGGAGGAUAUCUAAGAGAUUCUUAGACAGGUAAAGUUUGAACCUAGAUGGUUCUUGGGGGAUCUUUCAACAAUGAGAUUCUACUACAAAAUAUAAAAGUAUUAAGCUUCAAAAUGGUUGCUUACUUUAAAUGAGUUCAUAUAAAGGUAUCCAAAUGGGUUCUGAAGUGAAUAUGUAUAUCUGAAAAAUUAAUAAUUUUCCAAAACUUGCUAUGUCUGCUUUCUGGAGAUCAGCCCAAUUAAGUGUGGAAAAGUUCAUUACCAAUGGGCUGAUCUACUUGGUAAUGAAUUAUUUGACUAUUGUCAUACAUG